AAGGACUUAGGUUAAUUUUUAAACCCAUAACCUUCAAAGUUAUUAAUAAAAAAUAAAUUUUAGGCCUUA
rnacentral:tRNA from 1 species